rnacentral:rRNA from 1 species
UACGUAGGCAGCAAGCGUUGUUCGGAAUUACUGGGCGUAAAGAGUGUGUAGGCGGUGCUUUAAGUUCGGUGUGAAAUCUCCCGCUUAACUGGGAGGGUGCGCCGGAAACUGGAGUGCUCGAGCGUGGAGAGGAAGCGGAAUUCCUGGUGUAGCGGUGAAAUGCGUAGAUAUCAGGAGGAACACCUGCGGUGUAGACGGCUUUCUGGACCAUUGCUGACGCUGAGACACGAAAGCGUGGGUAGCAAACAGG